CGUCCUCUGCUGUGAACGACGGCGUACGCAAACAUUCGCCUUGUCCCUUAAUCGCGACCGCGGGGGCGCUACGAAGACCCGGAGUGCAAGUCCGCCAUGCAGCGGAAAGCCCGACGGCCUCCAGGCGUCCCCACUUGAACCCCGGGUUCAAGGUCGUUUCGUACGCAUCGCCAUUGGCGGAGGACUU
rnacentral:other from 1 species